rnacentral:rRNA from 1 species
GUCUAUGGCCAUACCACCCUAAUCUUGGAAGCUAAGCAGGGUUGGGCCUGGUUAGUACUUAGAUGGGAGAAUAUACAUAAAACAUAUUUUUCAUAGAAAUUAGGUAAAAUUAGAGC